rnacentral:rRNA from 1 species
GACGAACGCUGGCGGCGUGCUUAACACAUGCAAGUCGAGCGGUAAGGCCCUUUCGGGGGUACACGAGCGGCGAACGGGUGAGUAACACGUGGGUGACCUGCCCUCAGCUCUGGGAUAAGCCUGGGAAACCGGGUCUAAUACCGGAUAUGACUCCAUGACGCAUGUUGUGGGGUGGAAAGCCUUGUGCGGCUGAGGAUGGGCCCGCGGCCUAUCAGCUUGUUGGUGGGGUGAUGGCCUACCAAGGCGACGACGGUAGCCGGCCUGAGAGGGCGACCGGCCACACUGGGACUGAGACACGGCCCAGACUCCUACGGGAGGCAGCAGUGGGGAAUCUUGCGCAAUGGGCGAAAGCCUGAUCCAGCCAUGCCGCGUGAGUGAUGAAGGCCUUA